rnacentral:rRNA from 1 species
UGGGGAAUUUUGGACAAUGGGCGAAAGCCUGAUCCAGCAAUGCCGCGUGUGUGAAGAAGGCCUUCGGGUUGUAAAGCACUUUUGUCCGGAAAGAAAUCCUUGGCUCUAAUACAGUCGGGGGAUGACGGUACCGGAAGAAUAAGCACCGGCUAACUACGUGCCAGCAGCCGCGGUAAUACGUAGGGUGCAAGCGUUAAUCGGAAUUACUGGGCGUAAAGCGUGCGCAGGCGGUUUGCUAAGACCGAUGUGAAAUCCCCGGGCUCAACCUGGGAACUGCAUUUGGUGACUGGCAGGCUAGAGUAUGGCAGAGGGGGGUAGAAUUCCACGUGUAGCAGUGAAAUGCGUAGAGAUGUGGAGGAAUACCGAUGGCGAAGGCAGCCCCCUGGGCCAAUACUGACGCUCAUGCACGAAAGCGUGGGGAGCAAACAGGAUUAGAUACCCUGGUAGUCCACGCCCUAAACGAUGUCAACUAGUUGUUGGGGAUUCAUUUCCUUAGUAACGUAGCUAACGCGUGAAGUUGACCGCCUGGGGAGUACGGUCGCAAGAUUAAAACUCAAAGGAAUUGACGGGGUCAUAGCUGUUUCCU